GGACAAGAUAGAAACUAUGAAUCUUUGAGAGAAGUCGAAGGAAAUAUAGAAGACACCAGGAGGAGCAAAGAGAAAAUAAGGAAUUAAAAUGUUUGCUAGAACUGAGAGAAAAGGUGUACAACCAUGUCGUUUGAACCAUAACAGAAAUGUGAUUGCUUUUGUCGACCGCAGCAUAGGUUUUACUUUCACACAGGGCAGCCACCACUAUCUCCGAUUCCGACUUCGACUCCUUAGGUACAUAGUAAAUGUGUUUAUUGUUCAUCGUUUGAUUCUUUAUGUUUGGACCCAAUGAUUUAUAUUAUCAACACAAAAUCAUGUAAUGGUUUACUCAAACUUGUUUUCUGGGUCCUUGGGUUAUAUAUAUAUAUAUAUGGAUGAGUUUGAUUGAAUAUUUUCUCAAUUUA